CCUACGGGGGGCAGCAGUGAGGAAUAUUGGUCAAUGGACGCAAGUCUGAACCAGCCAUGCCGCGUGCAGGAAGACGGCCCUCUGAGUUGUAAACAGCUUUUGUACGAGGGUAAAUCCCGAGACGUGUAACCGGAUGAAAGUAUCGUACGAACAAGGAUCGGCUAACUCCGUGCCAGCAGCCGCGGUAAUACGGAGGAUUCGAGGGUUAUCCGGAUUUAUUGGGUUUAAAGGGUGCGUAGGCGGUUCGAUAAGUUAGAGGUGAAAUCCCGGGGCUCAACUCCGGCACUGCCUCUGAUACUGUCGGGCUAGAGUUUAGUUGCGGUAGGCGGAAUGUAAGGUGUAGCGGUGAAAUGCAUAGAGAU
rnacentral:rRNA from 1 species